CUCAUUCCAGAUAAUUUUAUUCUUCUGGACUGGGAGGAAAAGGCCUACCUCACGAACUACAGUGUUAAAGAUUCUCCCUUUACUUCGGUAACAAACAGAAAGAGGCCCAACCGAUGCCGAAAUCCAAAGAAAAAUAGACACUCGACACAGAAUAAGAACCAUGGCCUGGACCUACUACCUUCUCCAGACUUCCUGAGACCAACAUUACAGAUCACCGUUUGACCCUAUUCUGCCAUGACAUCGUUUCUUCAUCAAAGGACACCUGUGCUUUUGUGAUAUGUUUAUGUUCUAGUCUGGUUCUCAAAUUUUCAGGACCACAAGAUGCAUUUUAUCUGUUUACUCUGUAUGAUCCAAUGGUUGUAAAUUGAUUUGCACUAAUUAAACCCACAAA
rnacentral:lncRNA from 1 species